CAACUAGCAACAGCAGCAGAUCCUAGUGGAGAGAUGCCAUGCCACGCCCAGUCAUGAGGAGGUGCUGGUGGUGAGCCAACCCUUGCACAGAUCUUUUGAAUGGAAUAUGAACACCCUACAUUAUUAGGAGUUGAAGGACAUGUCUGUCAUUCAAAAAGGUUGGUUACUCUUCCAGUACAUUGAAUGAAAUUUAAUUGGUCUACAGUCCUCUGUUGUUACUGCACCAAAUGGAGGGAUUCUUUUAAGUAGGGCUGAAAUGCUACAUUAUUUUUAAUACCUGAAAGUCCAGAUUUUCUGCCCUGCAGGCAUUUUAAUAAUUGAAAAGAACAUUAUUUUAAAAACUUAAAAUUCCCUUAUUUACAUGUAUCCUUGCUUUGCACUUCACAGGUUUUUCUGUGUUUAGGUGACACUCUUGGUUGUGAUAUUGAAUAUAUUAGAUUUUAAGGCCAGAAGGGACAGGAUGAUGAUCUGUUCUGACCUCAAACAGCAUUGCCACCUUUUCAGGUUUUCCCAGAAUCACCCUUUUUGUGGUAGUUGUUCUGUAAGGGUGCUCAGUACAUGCUAACAGCUGUCUAGUUUUAUGGGCUCUAGAUCAUCCCAAAUAUCCUGUGUUUUUGUACAUCAGAAGUGGCAACCCUACUCCUACAUAUCACAGGGCAAAGAACCUCAUGGAGUUAUUUCUGCAUCAAGCCCAUAACUUCUGAUUGAGCCACACUAUAAGUUAUGGGAGGAGAUGUACCAGUUCCAGAAACCCACCUUUCAUGCUGAUUGGUUCUUGCUGACUUUCUUCAGCAGAGGCCUGCUCUCUCGCAGGAACUUUCUCUGGGCCUGCCGUUUGAAUGUGGCAGAGGUGUCUCAUUUGUUAAAGCAGCCAUUUUGUAACUGGGUGCAGCAGCACCCUCUCUUCCAUGUGGUAAGUUCUUAACUCCCAUUCUGAUUCCCUUUUCCUACUCUUGAGGAGAUGGUACCUUCUUCUCACUCCCACACUACAGCCAGAAAAGUCCCUUAUCUCGUCAUCAGUGUGGUCCUUUCAGGUUACCCUGCAAAAUCACCCUUCCCCAGCCCUGAUGAGCACUGUCUGUAUUCUGAGUGGAUCCAACUUUAGUUAGCAGAUGGUUAGCUGCUUUUCCUCACUCCCACACCUUCUGUCCAUGCCAGUCAUCAGUGGCUUUCACAUACUAGCUCCAUGUUGUAUGAGGGCAAUCCUCCGGUCAAGGUUCCUUCCCCACUUUGAACUCUAGGGUACAGAUGUGGGGACCUGAAUGAAAACCUCCCUAAGCUUAUUUUUACCAGCUUAGGUUAAAGCUUCCCCAAGGCACAAACUAUUUUACCUUUUGUCCCUGGACCUUAUUGCUGCCACCACCAAGCGUCUAACAAAAAUAACAGGGAAAGAGCCCACUUGGAAACAUCUUUCCUCCCCCAAAUCCCCCCAAGCCUUACACCCCCUUUCCUGGGGAAGGCUUGAUAAAAAUCCUCACCAAUUUGCAUAGGUGAACACAGACCCAAACUCUGUGUUAGAAUAUCUGUGUUGGGGAGGAGAGGUUAGCCACCACAGAGGAACUGAAAUCUAAGAAGGAAACUUUAUAAUGGGCUCUGAGGUUGAGACAUUAGAUAAUAAUUUGUUUUCAGUGUUAAGCUACUUAACCAUUCAAAUUAUAUUUAUAUUUAAAUAUAAUAUAUAUUUUUACUGACUGUGGUGAAAUCUUUUUAGGGACUUGUAACCAUUUGACAGCUACCUUCUUAGACUCCUUGGAAUGUAUAAGGAUUGAUCAUUUUCAGCACUAAUUUGAUGACUUAACUCUAUUCCAAUACUGAGACUGAUCUGAUGUUGAUUUGAUGUACUUUAUUCUUACUGUAGUUAGUUAAUACAAUGAAUAGUAGUUUAGCUUUGGUGAUAUGUGUUCUUGCUUUGGUUUUAGUGUAAACGUUUUAUACAUUUUAUAAAACUGAUACUGAGUCACAUUUUCUUUCAAAAAGCAAGAGGGGUCCAGUACCUUUGAGGGCCGGGCAGAGAUAUCGGCUGAUCAACCUAGAAGCCUGACCAGCUCUAUUAGGAAGCUGGCUCAGUCUUUGGUUCUCACAAUGGCCACUUUACCCCAUCGUUAGGCAGGCCCAGGUACUUCCAUAUGGUACAGCAUGUUGAAGUCAUUGCUCUCUUGGUGUUACUCAUGCCACUUUCUGGAGAGAAUUUUGGAAGGAUACUUAUCAGAAAAGAGCCACCCCUAAUCUUUAAACUAAGUGCCAAUAGACAGAAAGAUAUAAACUAAGCCAUAGCUGAAACCAUACAGAACACACUAUGGAGAAUGUUGUGGUGGCACAAUGACAGAGCUUGUGUAUGAUCCCUAUCUUUUCUU